AAGGAACGCUAGCUAUAUGCUUAACACAUGCAAGUCGAACGUUGUUUUCGAGGAGCUGGGCAGAAGGAAAAGCGGCUCCUAGCUAAAGGUAGCUUGUCUCGCCCAGGAGGUGAGAAGAGUUGAGAACAAAGUGGCGAACGGGUGCGUAACGCGUGGGAAUCUGCCGAACAGUUCGGGGCAAAUCCUGAAGAAAGCUAAAAAGCGCUGUUUGAUGAGCCUGCGUAGUAUUAGGUGGUUGGUCAGGUAAAGGCUGACCAAGCCAAUGAUGCUUAGCUGGUCUUUGCGGACGCUCAGCCACACGGGGACUGAGACACGGCCCGGACUCCCACGGGGGGCAGCGGUGGGGAAUCUUGGACAAUGGGCGAAAGCCCGAUCCAGCAAUCUCGCGUGGGUGAAGAAGGGCAAUGCCGCUUGUAAAGCUCUUUCAUCGAGUGCGCGAUCAUGACAAUACUCGAUGAAGAAGCCCCGGCUAACUCCGUG
rnacentral:rRNA from 1 species